GGGCCCGCACAAGCAGCGGAGCGUGUUGCUUAAUUCGAUGCAACGCGAAGAACCUUACCUAUACUUGACAUACUUGGAAUGCUUUGUAAUGAAGCAGUGCCUUCGGGAGCCAGGAUACAGGUGCUGCAUGGCUGUCGUCAGCUCGUGUCGUGAGAUGUUCCGUUAAGUCGGAUAACGAGCGCAACCCUUACCCUUAUUUGCCAGCGAUUCGGUCGGGAACUAUAAGGGGACUGCCGUGAUAAACCGGAGAAGGUGAGGACGACGUCAAGUCAUCAUGGCCCUUACGUAUAGGGCUACACACGUGCUACAAUGGGGAAUACAGACGGACGCUAAGCCGCGAGGUGGUGCU
rnacentral:rRNA from 1 species